rnacentral:rRNA from 1 species
UACGUAGGGGCCUAGCGUUGUCCGGAAUUAUUGGGCGUAAAGAGCUCGUAGGCGGUUCGGCAAGUCGGAUGUGAAAUCUCCACGCUUAACGUGGAGGGGCCAUUCGAAACUGCUGUGACUCGAGUCCGGUAGGGGAGUGUGGAAUUCCCGGUGUAGCGGUGAAAUGCGCAGAUAUCGGGAGGAACACCAGUAGCGAAGGCGGCAUCCUGGACCGGUAUUGACGCUGAGGAGCGAAAGCCAGGGGAGCAAACGGG